rnacentral:lncRNA from 1 species
CUUCCUCAGUUAGCCUUUCACAUUAAAUCAAUUAACAGUCAUUCAACUUUGUGCUACAGUUAAUGUUGUCUACUGAAAAAAAUAAAACCUGAAUUAGGGAAAAUCAUUUGCCUGGUAAACACUAAGUUACUUACAAAAGGAACUGAUGGCUUUCAGCAUGACAUGUGUAUUCAACUUUCUUGUGUAAUCAGCAUGCCAAGAAUUUGAUUUAAUGUAUUUUUUUCCCUAAAGAGGUUUUCUUGUUUGUGGGUUCUUGCUUUAUUUUAGUCUAUCUUGGCAGCUCGUGUUUCUAUAACCAUUAACCAUUAGUUUGUCUGUGAAGUAAUAGAGAUUUGUUUAUAGUUGCUAUUUCUAAGGGCCCAACUAUGAUCAUCUUGAUUGAAAAUCCCUUCCUUCCUUGUCUCCCAUCUUCUCCAAACCUUGUUCUCUUCCUCCUGCUCUUUAUGAGGUGCAUUCAAUGUUAUCAACUAUUGACAGACAACAGCUUAUUGAUGGAAAAUAGCUCAACACUUAUUUACUCAGUGCUCUACCUGCGUGUGAUCCAGUAUUCAUAAAGCCAGAAUCAUAACCCGAAGAUCUUCUAUAGGCAGUGUUUUGCUGGUAAUGUUUCAUAAUCAACUUUCAGAAUAACAUGUGUGGUAUUGGCCAGCUUCUAUGGUGUGUUUACUUUGUCCACAGUCAUCUUCAAGCUACACAGAUCCCUGCUUUGGGAAAAGAAGAGCACAAUCUCUCCAACCACUACUAGCAGGCUCCAGACCAACCCUAGAAAAUAAUUCCAAGCAUGAGAUUCUGCAAACCCCAACAUCAUCUUCUCUUGAAUUGGCUGCGCUUAGCACCACAAAUUGGGAUACACGUCUUGCUCUUGGUGUUUGUUCUAAAGGAGGACAAGAACCCCGGUAUUACGACUAUCGCUACUAUCGUCUCAAACAGCUGAGCAUCACAUACCAAGAGUGA